AUGCACCUAUAUACCUAUAUAUGCACCUAUAUACCUAUAUAUGCACCUAUAUACCUAUAUAUGCACCUAUAUACCUAUAUAUGCACCUAUAUACCUAUAUAUGUGUGCAUAUAUAGGUCCCUAUAUAUGCACGCAUAUAUAGGUCCCUAUAUAUGCACACAUAUAUGGGUCCCUAUAUAUGCACACAUAUAUAGGUCCCUAUAUGCAUAUAGGUUCCUAUAUAUGCACACAUAAAUAGGUCCCUAUAUGCAUAUAGGUGCAUAUAGGUCCCUAAAUAUGCACACAUAUAUAGGUGUAUAUACAUACACCUAUAUAUGUGUGCAUAUAUAUACAGUACACUUUAUAUACGCUGUAUUUCUAGUCGUAUCGUUUCAGUUGGACUCUUGGAAUGACACUUUUCUAACCAGUUAAGAUUUCAUAAACUGAAAUUAAAUCCAAAUAUCCAAUUUUUUUGCAAGUAUCUACCUUUUUCCGAUAGUAAUGAAUGAUUCAUAGAGAUACAUACAAUAUAAAAAUUACAGUACUUCCUGUUAAAUCAUGAGACAUGAAACAUUAAAUAUAUAUAUAUAUACUACACACACACUUAUUUAUAUAUAUAUAUAACCUAUAAUAUUAACGUCCAUCUAGAAGCAACAGCAUUUAAACUACACUAUUACAUUUCGAAAGCAUUCGAAAAAUUUAUGAUAAACACAGUAAAUUUUGAAUCAUUUCUAUUUUUACUCGAUUUAAGUAUUAAUUUUUCGGAGGAAUUUUCGGAACAUUUGACGGAUUUUUACCAAAAUUCUUCAUACGCGUUUAGGAACUUUAACACAUUGACAUGUUUUGAUUUAUAUUUGUUUUGCUUUAUAAAAAAAAAUAAAAAUAAAACAAAAUAAAUCCUGUUAACGAGUUGGAAAGGAAAACUGAACCGCUUGUGUAAUUAAAUCAAAUUUUAACGGAAUUAUCGAUCGAAAUUCGAUAGAUCUAUCGCGUAUUUUUUCUCAACGUGGCACAAUUGCAUACAUUGUAAAGCCUGGCAAAGAGUUAAGAUUUCAUAAACUGAAAUUAAAUCCAAACAUCCAAUGUUUUUUGCAAGUAUCUACCUUUUUUCGAUAGUAAAGAAUGAUUCAUAGAGAUGCAUACAAUAUAAAAGUUACAGUACUUCCUAUUAAAUCAUGAGACAUGUUUCAAAAAUGGUAUUAAUCGAUGGGGGGUCGAGAUACGCAAAAUAUCCCUAAUGAACUAGGGUUAAAGAUUAAUGAGAUACACAUGCAUUUAGAUAGCACAAGAAUGGGA
rnacentral:lncRNA from 1 species